CAGCCGCCGCGGGAAAACGAAGGGUGCAAGCGUUACUCGGAAUUACUGGGCGUAAAGCGUGCGUAGGUGGUGGUUUAAGUCCGUUGUGAAAGCCCUGGGCUCAACCUGGGAAUUGCAGUGGAUACUGGGUCACUAGAGUGUGGUAGAGGAUAGUGGAAUUUCCGGUGUAGCAGUGAAAUGCGUAGAGAUCGGAAGGAACAUCUGUGGCGAAGGCGACUAUCUGGGCCAACACUGACACUGAGGCACGAAAGCGUGGGGAGCAAACAGGAUUAGAUACCCGGGUAGUCCCUGUCUCUUUACA
rnacentral:rRNA from 1 species